rnacentral:lncRNA from 1 species
GGAAAGCUGAAGAUUGCAUACACACAUGCAGGCUGGGAGAGCGGAGGAACGUUUGGGAACAUGGCACAGGUCGCCAUCUUUAAAGCAGAAAGACCAGGCUUUCACUAGACACUGAAUCACCUGGCACCUUGACUCUGGCAUCUUGACUUCCUGCCUUCAGAGCGACCUUUCAACUUCUAGACCCAUUCAUCUAUUCAUUCAUACAUGUAUAGCUGGUGCCAGAAAAUGAAACUACAACAGUGGAUAAGACUAAUACCACAACUCUAUUCAUGGAGUUGAAAGUCUACAGAGAGGAAUUGUUUCAGGUAUGCUCAUGCUGCCCAAGGUGAAGACCCAGCCUGACUCAUUCAGUCAGAGCCUCGGACCUCUGAGCCUGGACAAUGUAUGCUUUGUUUUGAAAUAAACCAAACUGCCAGGAAAUGAAAAUUUUGCUGAUAUUAAAGACAUUUCCAACAGCUCA